rnacentral:lncRNA from 1 species
UUGCCGUUUUUUGAAGGCUUAUACAAAAUAGUUUCCUGCAAACUCAAGUGGCUGGGAAGCCCAGCUGAAGGUUACUUCUACCCCAAGGCCAUGUCAGCAGAAAGUGGCCAACAGGACUUGGGCCUGAAAAAGCUCAGACUGAAUUUUAGGAGUGACAUCUGAAACUGCUGGUUUCUCACAAGGAAUAAAAGCUGUCUGGGAAGCUGGAGAGGCAGUGUGCUGUCUGGAGCAGGGACUUGCAAAUGGGAACAGUGAAGAGAGACAGCAUCUCCUUCCUCUGAAGAUUCUGUUCAGAAUGGAUAAAGGUUCAGCAUCCUCCCUGGAUGGGGCAGCUUAGCAGGCAAGAAAGAAGUCAACUGAGUUUCUUCUAGAGAAAUUAUAGAAAGAAAGAAAAAGAAAGAAAGAAAGAAAGAAAGAAAGAAAGAAAGAAAGAAAGAAAGAAAGAGGAAGGAAGGAAAGAAAGAAAGAAGAAAGAAAAAGAAAGAAAGAAAGAAAGAAAGAAAGAAAGAAAGAAAGAAAGAAAGAAAGAAAGAAAGAAAGAAAGAAAGAAAGGGAAAGAAAGAAAAGUUGACUGAGACAUGGCCCAUUCCCUCCCUGGGACCAGCCUCUUCUUUCCAGCUCAAGGGUCAAGACAGUGUCCCCAGGAAGAAGCAAAGGCUGUGUUUUCCACACUCUUAUCUAGAGGUGAGCUGGCAGAAGCUCCUCCCAGACUGCAUCUAUCAGACAGGGAGACAAUAACUGCUUGGGUGAGGAACAAAGGGAGGAGACACCAACUGUCCCCACUAAUGACAGAAGAUGUGGCAGCCUGAAGCCCUAAUAUUGGCUGUGGCCCUUUAAGAUCCCUCCCCACUUAACUGUAACACCCCCCUUCUCCAGGAAACUGGCAAGGACCCUUGGCACUGUUGGCCAGCGCUCUUGGAGACAGCCAGGACGGGGUUGGCAGGACUGCCUACACUGCUUUGAAAAUAUUUAACAAUAGGUAACUUUGGCAUUUCGAGAAGGUCUUGGAUCACAGGAGUUGUGGAGGCCCUGGGAGAUGUAGAAAAGACAUAGUGAAAGCUUUUGUUUUGCCCGGAAGGAAAACAUGUGGAUGUCUCAGUCAGCUCAGACUUCUAUUUGGCUGAUGGGGAAGUCAGGGAGAGCUUGAGUGUUCACAGAAUGCCACCUCUACCUUGUAGCUGCCACGCGGAAUCGUUCAAUCUCUCAUCUGACAUCACCUUCACAGAUUCAGUUUCAUUCGCAAGGAAGACACUGACCAAAAAAAAAAAAAAAAAAAAAAAAAACAGAAGUAACUUUCCUUUAAAGGGCUCCAAACCUCCUGCUACCAAAAACUAGAAUUCUUGGUCUCUCUGGUUUACUGUCCCCCCAACCCAAGUUUGUCCCCCCCUCCCAGACAUCCACAUGCUUUCCUUGAGGUCAGGAGUGAUCCUCCCACCUCAGCCCCCUGAGUAGCUGGGACUACAGGCGAUGCCACCAUGCCUGACUAAUUUUUAAAAAUUUUUUAUAGAGAUGGGGUUUCAUCAUAUAGCCCAGGCUGGUCUUGAACUCCUGAGCUCAAGUGACCUGCCUACUUCUGACUCCCAAAGGCUUGAGAUUACAGGCGUGAGCCACCACACAUGGCCUAGUUUUAUUAUUUAAUUUUUUUUUUAAGAAUAGGGAUUUGCUGUGUUGCCCAACCUGGUCUCUAAUUCCUGGCUUCAAGUGAUUUUUCUGCCUUGGCCUUCCAAAGUGCUAGGAUUAUAAGCAUGAGCCACCACACCUGGCCCCAGUUAAAUUUGAAUUUCACAUACACAGGAAAUGAUAUUUUAUUUUAUUUUAUUUUUAAUUUGUUUUAUUUUGAGACAGUCUCACUCUAUCACCCAAGCUGGAGUGCAAUGGUGCAGUCUCGGCUCACUGACUGCAACCUCCGCCUCCUGGGUUCAAGCAAUUCACCUGCCUCAGUCUCCAGAGUACCUGGGACUACAGGCAUGCUCCAACAACCCCGGCUAAUUUUUGUAUUUUUUGUAGAGACAGGGUUUUACCACGUUGGCCAGGCUGGUCUUGAAUUCCUGACCUCAAGUGAUCCACCCACCUCAGUCUGCCAAAGUGCUGGGAGUACAGGUGUGAGCUACCGCUCCCAGCCAAGGAAUGAUAGUUUAGUGUAAAUAUGUACAUCCAUUCAAGGGAAUAAAAGUCAAGUUAGCAAAGAUGAGUCAUAAAAUAAUGUUAUUACAGUUUUGUGAUCGCUCAGGAAACAAGUAAUAUAAGCAUAAAACAUUAUGAAUUUACUAUACUAUUAUUAUUUUAUUUUUAUUGAUAUUAAUUGAAUCUUAGUAGACUAAAAUGAUACAGGUAUUAACCAAAGACAUGAACAAACAUAGAGUGUGAGAUGUUAGAGACCGCAACACACAUAGGUUAUGUUGCAGUGCAGCACUAAGAAUGAAUGUCUGUGUGUAGUAUAUAUUAAUUCUUUUCCCCAUAUGAUUUUCUAGAGCUGG